UUCAUAUAUGAGGGUGAAGUGAGUUCCAAGAGAGAGAAACAGUGGAUGUUCUUGAAGGGUCAACCGUUGUAGAGAGAAUGAGGAAGUUUCCAACCCUCAUACACACCAAGGUAAGGUUAUUUUAUGGAUUUACAUCUACUCAACAUCACACACAAGGACUAACACAACCUAUUCGUGGAAUCCUUAGAUUCUAAGCUCAAUUUUUCAUGAACUCAAUAGAUGAAUUUGUAGGACUUUGUUCCAAAAAGGUAAUGCUACAUCCCAAACUUACAUACAUAGGUUGCUAAUGAGUAUAUGAGUAGGAAUUUAAGUAUUGGACAUUGUGGGAUGGUGAUUAGAAGCCAUAAGCUCUCAACGUAAAAUUUGCGCACCGUAGAGAAUGAAGAAGUAUUUUAUUUGAUAUAUGUGUUAAUUGGGAGUGGGUGGUUGGACAUGCAUGUGUAGUUGAAAGUCAUAAAUUAACUAAGGAUGGUUGUGGAACGAAAGGUGGAUGCUGGGUUAAUAAAUUUCCAUUAAUGGGUGUUGUAGAGAACUAUGUACAUUAGGUGUUUGAUAAAAUACCUAGGAGACCUAGGUGAAAAUUGUAAUGGACACUGAACAAUAGGUUAUACUCAAGUUGUUUCUAAAAGAAUAUGGAAAAAUUAUGCUUCACACUCUAAAGAAUAGAACUCUGGAACAACUUGUACUACUUGAUAGUGAUAUUGAAUUGCCUUGGCAUGUUGGGGAUGAACUCAAUAUGGUGAUGAAUGAAGAGGAAAAUAUUGGAGGUCAACCAGUUUACACGAGGAGAACGAAAUCCUAUUACAAUGGGUUCAUUAAGAAGGUGAAGGAGCAGUUGCAAUCAUGAAAGGGCAAGUUGUUAUCUUAUGGAGGCAACUAGUGGUUAUAUCUAAUUUCCUUCAAAGCAUGCCAAUUUACUUGUUAUCCGGUGUUAAUCCUCCUAGAUAUAUCCUAGAUGAUCUUCAUAGAAUUUUUGCGAGGUUUUUCUAAAGCAAUAAGGAAGAUGGAAGAAGAAAACAUUGAUCAGCAUGGCUAAACCCUUGUCUACCUAGACAAGAAGGUGAAUUAGGGUUUAGGUCUUUGUAUGACGCUUCCAAAGCUUUAUUUUCCAAGUUUUAAUGGAAGUUCCGGUCUACUAAAUUAUUGUGGGCAGAUUUUGUAUGGAAUAACUACUGAGCAGAUACCCACUUUGAUACAAUGGAGAGAUGGUUCUCACGUUUAGAAGAAAUCGUUGGAGGCUAGAGAUUUUAUUGAACAAAAAAUUUGGUAAGAACCUAAAUGUAGUUCCUCCAAUGUUUAGUUUGAUAACUUGGACCAAAUUUGGUGCUUUAUGCCAUGUUUUUCCUACUGAUUUUCCUAUUGAUGAUAUAUCUAGGAUAUGGAGGAACUUAUGGAGAAUGGAAACUAGAAUGUACAAAAAUUAUAUUUUUGGAUAAAAUUGUUGAGAAUAUUAGGCAGGAGUAGGAUACAUUAGAGGGUUCUGAGAAAUGAGAUAGACCUUGGUGGAAGUUAAUUAGCUCAGAUAAAUUCACUGUGAGCAGUGCAUGGAACAUUCUUAGACAUAGGGCUCAUAUUUCUCCAUACUUUAAGAACAUGUGAAUGGGUUCCUUUCAAAGUAUUAUUCUUUCUUUGGAGAUUGUGAAAAUUUAAGGUGCCAACUGAUUAUGUGCUUACAAUAAUUGGGUAUUCUAUAUCCUCUCGGUGUUGGUGUUGCCUCAAUCCGCAACAGGAAAUAAUUUCUUACUUAUUUCUCACUGGCUCUUUUGUUUCUAGGAUAUGGAACUAUUAUGUGACUGCUGCAGGUAUUCAUGGGCCUUUUGUACAGCUUCACCAAGCUGUUUUCUAGUGGUGGAAUGCAGACAACCUAAGUAAACUUAAGCGAUUAUUUCAAGUUGUCCACGCGAUGAUAUGUUGGCAACUUUGGAAGAGGAGGAACAUGGUGAUUUAUGAUGGGAAAAUCUCUUUUAAGAGAGUGGUUCAUGAGAUUAACAACCACCAAUAUCAGCUGGCCGAUGUGAGAUAUUCUACAUAAUAUUUCUUUUCUUUGGCCAUAAAUGAUUCAGCAUUUUUUAAGGGUAGCCCUUGAUGGGGUGCAAGUUGGUAAAAUGCUCAUGUCCUCUGGUAGAUUAGUACAAAUGUAAUUCUGAUGGAGCUUCAAGGGGCAAUCCAUGGCCUAGUUUUGUUGCCUAUUAUGUUAGAAAUAGUGAUGGUGGCCUUGUAUAUGCUAUGGUAAGGAGAUUGGUGGAUACUAACAUGACUACUGAGACGAUUCUAUAUAAGAAGGUUUGGAUUUCUAUGUUUCUAACUUAUUGGUGUUAAUUGUUGAGACUGACUCAUUGACAAUAAAGAAUGUGUUGGAUAGUAUUUAGGAGGUGUCAUGAAGCAUUGUGAUGGAGGUUAUUGGGAUCAAUCAAUUGAGAAGAAGGGGAUAAGUGCAGCUUGCUCAUGUGGUGAGGAAAAGGCAAGGCACUGGCAUAUUAUGUUACUAACCUAGUUUUUGAUUUUUCAGGUACCAUAUACUUUGACACAUUUCAUGCACUUACUACUACAACAAAGAAGAUACUUAAUGUGGAUAAGGCUCAAGUUCCUAACAUGAGGUUUAGACCAAUAAAAAUAAGAGAUCCAGGUUGAAAGACAAAGACUCAAAUGAUCAUCAGGACAAACAAGAUACUUAGAGAAUUAAUCUACCCGGCAUGCUUUGACGGACACAUACACUUGCGGGGAAAGGUGGUAUGGUUAUCACCUAGUUGUUUCACAAAUGGGCCAAUUACUUACGGAUUAGUCACGUUUCAUGGGAGGCAAUUCAUUGGAGAUUGGACACAGUCAAAAGACAAAAUGCACAUUUCAAUUUUGCCUUGAAGGAUUCUUCUUUUGGUUUUGGUAUCAUAGCACAUGGUGAGAGCUUUGUAGGUGUUGGAGAUUGCACCAAACCGAGGCAAUUGGACACUUCUGCAGUAAUCAUCUUGUUGGCUUGUCAUUUUGCUUUAUUUUAUAUGUAUUGGAUUUCUUUAUUAGAGUCAACUUAGGAUAAUUUGUCUCUAAGUUGACAUUAGUUUUAGUUCUUACAAAGCUUAUUCUUGUACAUAUUAUAAUACUUAUUUGGUUUGAUUUUAUGUAUAUAAUUAGCCAUUAAGCAAU